CCUACGGGUGGCUGCAGUAAGGAAUAUUGGUCAAUGGACGAAAGUCUGAACCAGCCAUGCCGCGUGGAGGAUGAAGGUCCUCUGGAUUGUAAACUUCUUUUAUAUGGGACGAAAAAAGGCCUUUCCAGGUCGUCUGACGGUACCAUAUGAAUAAGCACCGGCUAACUCCGUGCCAGCAGCCGCGGUAAUACGGAGGGUGCAAGCGUUACUCGGUUUAAAGGGGUCUAAGGGGUGUUGGUAAGUCAGGGUUGAAAUCCCCGAGCUUAACUUGGGAACUGCCAUUGAUACUAUCAGUCUUGAAUACCGUGGAGGUCAGCGGAAUAUGUCAUGUAGCGGUGAAAUGCUUAGAUAUGACAUAGAACACCAAUUGCGAAGGCAGCUGGCUACACGAGUAUUGACACUGAGGCACGAAAGCGUGGGGAUCAAACAGGAUUAGAUACCCUGGUAGUC
rnacentral:rRNA from 1 species